rnacentral:rRNA from 1 species
AAUAUUGGACAAUGGGGGAAACCCUGAUCCAGCAAUGCCGCGUGUGUGAAGAAGGCCUGCGGGUUGUAAAGCACUUUCAGUAGGGAAGAUUAUGACGGCACCUACAAAAGAAGCACCGGCUAACUCCGUGCCAGCAGCCGCGGUAAUACGGAGGGUGCGAGCGUUAAUCGGAAUUACUGGGCGUAAAGCGUACGUAGGUGGUUUGGUAAGUCGGAUGUGAAAUCCCCGGGCUCAACCUGGGAAUUGCAUUCGAAACUGCCUCACUAGAGUCUAGCAGAGGGAUGGGGAAUUCCGGGUGUAGCGGUGAAAUGCGUAGAGAUCCGGAGGAACAUCAGUGGCGAAGGCGCCAUCCUGGGCUAAGACUGACGCUGAGGUACGAAAGCGUGGGGAGCAAACAGGAUUAGAUACCCUGGUAGUCCACGCCGUA